CUACGGGAGGCAGCAGUAAGGAAUAUUGGUCAAUGGACGGAAGUCUGAACCAGCCAUGCCGCGUGCAGGAAGACGGCCCUACGGGUUGUAAACUGCUUUUGUACGGGAAUAAACCUACCGACGUGUCGGUAGCUGAAUGUACUGUAAGAAUAAGGAUCGGCUAACUCCGUGCCAGCAGCCGCGGUAAUACGGAGGAUCCGAGCGUUAUCCGGAUUUAUUGGGUUUAAAGGGUGCGUAGGCGGCCUGUUAAGUCAGGGGUGAAAGACGGUAGCUCAACUAUCGCAGUGCCCUUGAUACUGAUGGGCUUGAAUGUACUAGAGGUAGGCGGAACGUGACAAGUAGCGGUGAAAUGCAUAGAUAUGUCACAGAACACCAAUAGCGAAGGCAGCUUACUAUGGUAUGAUUGACGCUGAGGCACGAAAGCGUGGGGAUCAAACAGGAUUAGAUACCCUGGUAGUCCACGCCCUAAACGAUGAAUACUCGAUGUUAGCGAUAUACAGUUAGCGUCAAAGCGAAAGCGUUAAGUAUUCCACCUGGGGAGUACGCCCGCAAGGGUGAAACUCAAAGGAAUUGACGGGGGCCCGCACAAGCGGAGGAGCAUGUGGUUUAAUUCGAUGAUACGCGAGGAACCUUACCCGGGCUUGAAAGUUAGUGAAUGAUUCAGAGACGAAUCAGUCCUUCGGGACACGAAACUAGGUGCUGCAUGGCUGUCGUCAGCUCGUGCCGUGAGGUGUUGGGUUA
rnacentral:rRNA from 1 species